rnacentral:lncRNA from 1 species
GGCGAUCCAACGUAGCUACACGAAGAAGAUUGCCUCUGUGCAGAAUAUAAGCUACUGGGACUCAAGAGAUUAAAACUCUAUUUCUUGGAGCGUAGGCGAGAAAGAUAUGCCAUAAUAUACAUCUGGAAGAUCCUGGAGGGACUUGUCCCAAACUUUGGCAUCGAGAGUUACACAAAUGCCUGCGUGGUGCCUAGGACUCCAAAUUUUCCAUCAAGAUGUAGGACAAGAUACUGUGAUAGCCUGGGCUUCAGAGGCCCACAGCUCUUCAAUAUCCUCCCGAAGAACCUAAGAGACCUGCAUGGGGUGGAUGCAGAUGUCUUUAAAAUGAAACUGGAUCUCUUCUUGUCAGGUAUCCCAGAUGAACCAACUUCACGGCAGGAGGUGCAGAUGAGGGCAGCUGCAUCGAACUCUCUCAUGCACUAAAUGGCAGUUGCUAAAAAGCAUUCGUGAAGUAAAACCAUGUAGCAACACCAAAAGGCGGUGACCCAGCAUGGCCACAGCUCGUGAGCUGAAACUAGAAUCAAUCAAUCAUAUAUAUAUAUAUAUAUAUGUAUAUAUAUAUAUAUAUAUAUAUAUAUAUAUGCGUGUAUGUAUAUAUGUAUGUAUGUAUAUAUUGUAAUCGACUCUACUCCACCUGGUACGCGAAACCCCUUUGUAAAUACUUAAUAUGGAUUUGUUUAUAUAUUGACCUGGCAAAAAGCGGAAUAUUUACACAAAUAUUGACUAACCGAAAUACAUUGAUAAACUGAAACUCUCUUUACACAAAAAUCCAGUUUCAAGACCCAGCCGAAUCAAUUUCCAGGCUAAUAACUCGGGGGCAAUAAUAUAAGUUGAACUUAUAUAUUCUAGUCAAAUGAAACGAAUAUAAACGUUAAGUUUUUCGUCUUUUUCUUAGUAAAAGUACAUUUCAGCUAAAUGAAAACAAAAUCAAUAUUUACUUGAGCUGUUUUCAACAUUCAAGAAAUAAAAUACUGCAACAAUGACAUAUGAUAGAAACGGAAGCAAGGGAAUUUCUCUGAAUUUUAAAUAUCACUUGAUAUGUGCCGGAUAAUGUGAGCACUUCCAGACGAUUUUAAGCUGGCAUAUAGCUGGGUUUUCUUGACAUUAAGUAAUGUGAAAACAAAACAAAAUCUACAAAAUAAAAAUAUCAGAACAUGAAUAAUUUCUACAAGGAGUAUUUAAAUUCUGAAACGACAUAUAAUUUCCUGCCUUCAAUUUAAUACCUGAGUAUAUAGUUAUGUCUUAAUGUCCUCAACCCAGUAUACAUAUUAAAUGUCCAUCAUAUGAAUUAUGUUUAAGUAUGUUCCAAGCUUUCCGAUCGAAAUAAAGAAAAGGAUUUAGCUUUUAUUUUGGCAUAUUAAUGAAGUUGUAAAAACGAAUACACUGAUUUUUAUCUAGACUUAUAUACUUGCAUGUGUGUGUAUGUAUAUGUAGAAGUGUAUCUAUGUACUUACUUGUGUUUGAUGGUUAGAGAGGGGAAGAUGGAAAGUCAGUUUCAGUGCAGCGAAGAGCAGUAGCAUGCUAUUCAGCAUCUGUACCAUCGGGACAAAUUUAGGAUGUUUCAAGCGGACAGUUAAUUACAUUAUAGGGUCAACUCCACCAUAGAAAUAGAUGCAGGAAACAUAUUAUAGAUGACAGCUGAUGGUUUGAUGUGUCACGCCGUGGUAGCUAAUAUCUUUCUGUGGUUUCUGUAUGUUUGAUAUUAUUACGUAAAUGUUAUCAAGAGUAACUUGAUAUGUAAUAUGGUCUGCUAUGCUAUAAGAGAUCUUCUCAAAGAACUGCUUCAUAUUUGGUGUCUUACUCGCCUUAGAAUGCGUCUUUUAAAUUUUGCUACUUUGUAUACUGAGAUACCCAAUUAACAAUAAAAUAAAAUAAAAAAGAUGAAGAGCGAUUCAGUGAAUUGACUUAAAUUAUUUGAAUAGAUUUCUCUUCAUGACCAGUGACCUGCCGAAGAAAAUCAGGACAUGUGAAGUAGGCAAAAGAUGUCGCCAUGGGCUCUGAUUUCGUGCUUUUCAUACGAGACAGCAGUAAAUGGAAAACGACAGUUUUAUGUAUAAAUGUAGGCAACUACAUAAUCUGUGUUUUUCAUUAGUACCAAUGCAGGCUUCUUUGGAAAAUUUUGCUGUCCCUACUUAUAAGGUACGAGGUGAUAAAAGUCACACUAAAUAGAACGUGUACGUUAAUACCUGUCAUUAGCCGCGAUUGAACGGUCAUCAAUUUUGUUGCCAUAAAUCCGUGUCAAGAAACUUGAAAGUUAUAAUCUACACACCGUUCAGGAUAAUGAGAAUAAUUGAGAGAAAAAAAAACAUAGUUACUUGAAUUGUAUAAAACCACAUAGCUGACGUUAGUGAACGUAGGUUAGAUGGAAAUGUAAUUUGUUCAAUUCAUUGUUUGUAGUCUUACCUGGAAUGGAAAGUGAAUUUUGUCAGACACAAAGAGUAUUAUGUGUUAGAUUUGAAAUAGCUAAAUGUCAGGAGCUAUUACCAAUCCGUGUAAGUUGCAGACUCCUUACUUCAAGGAUCUAAUUACAGAUGGUAAUCUACAUAUUAUUGAUUAGUAAACAUUUUCAUAAUGAACAACUCCGAUGAAAAGCAGAAAUUCUUUAAUACAUUUUAGAAACGAUUCCUUCAUUGAUGAUAUAGCACUUUUAGAAGAAUUUAAUAUUCAACUAAGUAAUUUAGGUUGGCUCAAUCUCCUUGGUCAGCGUGGUGUUGAUAAAGUGAAAUAUAUUGGUUUAUUACGUUCCUUUUUUCAAGUAUUUCAACUCCUUCAAUCCAGUCCAGUCGAAUCCCAGUCAACCGCUAUCAUAAAACUGAUGAUAAUCUAUGAUAUUGAAAGGUUCACAAUGUCCCAUUUAAGAAAAUAUUGCGGCUUAUCGUACAACAUUGUUGUACCUAUAUGAAUUGUGGACAAUAUUCAGGAAUGUGAAGUGGGGUCUCUAUACAAGAAUGUAAAAUAUGGAUAUUAUACAUGAAUAUGAAGUGCGGACGUAAAGAAGGCUAUCUACUCUGUAGACGCGUUUUACAUAAUACACGAAACAGCAACAUCCUUGAAAACUAAAUUAAAUGUAGCGGAACAUUCUAGAGAAUCGGGUUGGAUAACAUAAGUCAAUUGCGUGUGAAAUAUUAGAAUCUCUAAAUACUAUACAGAGCCAGCUAAUAAACGAUCCCAUAAUGUUUCAUGAGUUAUUUGUUGAGGUACAAAGAGAAGAUUAAGUAAAGUUUGAGAAAAGUGGAAUUUGAUCCAUUGAAUCGUCAAACUUGGUAUAGGUGUCACAGUUUCAAGAGAAGAACUGUCUUUGGAAUAUACCCACCUCUAAAACAAAACAUUUUAAAAGUAUCCCUCAAUUUUUAUUAUUCAGUGAUAAAAUGGAGAUCAUACUCCCCUCAAUUAUUUUAGUCGCUAAGUUUAGGCCGUUGUAAUUUCCCGUGUCCUUUCGGUGCUUGUUAGAGAACAUUUCAAGCAGCAGCUUAUAUCCAAAAUAUACCGCUAAGUUGAACGCAUUCUCUCAUACAUGCCAUGUAUAUGAUGCCUGAGCCUCAUUCCACCUAUAUGUUGACUCCUUGUCCAGCAAUUGAACUGACGUCCCCCAAGCGUACUGAAACAUGUAACUCUCUUCAAUCUAUGCGAAACGUUAUAUAGCAGAACUAGCAAACCGAAUAAAGAGUGCCACUCUGGCAAUAUUUUUCUUGCAAUAACUAUUUCAAUUGGAUAACAUAUAUUUUAAAUUCAGUUACAUUGAACAGAAACAUUCCAAUAUUGAUCAUUUGAAUUCAUUCAAAUUACAUCGAUUUCUUUUGAUUAUCUCUUUAGCCUAUUACAGGUUUUGUACGUAUAUUUGAACUACUACUACAACUACUACUACUGCUGCUGCUGCUGCUACUACCACUACUACUACUACUACCUACUACUACUACUACUUGCGUAUUCAUUUUAAUUAAAAUAGGUAGUCGAAUCUUAGCGAAAAACAAUUCUUAAAGGGGUUGAUGUGAAAAUUAUGAAGCGAUUUUUUUUAUACCUCAGCGAAUGUCUUCAAAACAUGCUUUAUCCUUCCUCGUUUUCUAUAUAUUAUACAUCAUUAAUGAUGAUAAUAGAAUUUUAAAGUUUUACGUUCAACUCUUCUAAUGAAUAAUUGUUCAAAGAAUAACUACCUCCACUCUCCCUUAUUGUCAUUAAUUGUAUGUGAAUGUGCAUGCAAGUGUGUGUGUAUAUAUAAGAAAGAAGAAAACAAAGGACCACUGAUGCGGUCACAGGAGUGUGACGAAAGAACUCUGGCCGAAAUAAGAUUAAGAUUAAUGUAAAAAAUAAAUAACACUGAAGCAAAAUAACACCAAAUAUAUAGUGCGUGUGUUUUUAUUGGCUAAACUGGCAAUAUGAACCAUUCCGAAAUAUAACAAUAUGUAUAUAUAUAUAUAUAUAUAUAUAUAUAUAUAUAUAUAUAUAUAUAUAUAUAUAUAUAUAUAUAUGUAUAUAUGUAUGUAUGUGUGUGUACGUAUAUGUAUAUAUGCAUACAUGUGAGUAUAUAUGUACAGACACACAUGGGUUUGAAUGUAUUAUUUGUAAUCAUGAUAAUUACUAUUUAAAAGUGUGUGCAGUUUCUUUUUGUUGUAGAUUUCAUUCCCCACAUAUAUUUCUACUUUGCACUUGUAUAUCUCCAUCACCCUGUCUGGGUCUCUUUGUUUCUCCCUUUCUCUUCCUCUUUAUAUCUUCUGAUUCCCUUGCUCUUUUAGAAAUGCCCUUACUUGUCACCCAUGUUUGUAGUGACUGAUUUAUUAAUCCUGAUGCUAUUUCAUUCAUUUGCUCUUAAAUGUAAUAAUCAUUGUUAUUUUUGCAUUUCUGUUGCAGUUUUCGUACGGAAAUGUAAUAUAUCCUGUAUAGUUUGGUUUAUUUCCUCUCGUUAUACUGUCUGAAUUAAUACGAACAGCGUUAUAGUAAUUCUAUAACCUGCACAACCUUCUGAUGAACCUCAUGGGAGUUGAUAUAAUUCAAACAAAUCUGCGAAUUUACGAUAUUUCUGCUGAUGAUUUAUGCGUUUCCAAUGUGUUCUACUAUUUCUGACAAGUCACAAUGGAUUAUUUCAACAUAGCCAUUUUGCCAUUAGCUUUAUUAGCCGUGAAUUGUUUGCUGAUGGGUUCACGAUUUAAAAUAGUUGUCUUCGCUUAGCUUUAUCGCUGAAAUAGUGUCUCGGCACUAUGAUUGCCAGAUCAACUAUCCAGAAUUUUAUUUACAUAUGCGAUGUGAUGUCCAGUACACUCACACUUUCGAACUAACAGAGUCCGUAUAACUUUCUAGUUAGAUAUAAACAUAUAUAUAUAUAUUUGUCUACGUGCGUUUGUAUGUAUAUAUGUAUAUGUUUGUACUUAUAUAACCAUCAUCAGAGGUCAUAAUCAUUUUCGUCACUAUCAUCAUCAAAUCAAACUUUCUCGAAUUUAUGACCAAGUGCAACCGUAGUAAAGUAAUAUAAAUGCAUGUCUUAUGAGCCCUUCAACCCUUUUCCACCUCUGACGAGAUCAUGAAUAUGCGUAUGCAAAACUGUAUGUUCCUCUAAUACCCACUGAGCUAAACGACGUACACUCAUUCCCGUUGUUUACUCUAAAUAUCUAUUGUGGUUAUCUGUUACCUCUUGAAUCUUGAACUUUACUGAUGCUACCCGUUUUCCGAUAUCAUUCACCUCCAGAAAUUGACCAUGAAAUUUUAAUGUUUGGUAUAAGAAUGCCUCCAAAGUAUUCUCAGUUUCCUUUUGCUUCAGUACUGUUCGUCGUUCAAUCAAUGAUAUUCUCAACAAUCGUCUCCAAAGUCAUAUAUCAAAUGUGACUAAUUUUUUUAUCUGGUUUGUUAGUUGUCUAGUAUUCACUUCCACGUAACAUUAUUGCAUACAUCAAUGGCUGUAAUAAUCUCCUCUUUGUUCUACGUCCUUAUUCUUUAUAUUUAAUAAUUCACUAUAGUAGCUUUAUGGUCUUUCAAAAUUGGUGUAUAAUAUAACAAUGUAUAUUUUCAUCAUUCACUAUAUUCGUUGCUUUUAAAGUCGUUUCAUACUUGAAUAUUGUUGUUUUUGUGCGCGUAUAUAGGCGUUUGAACAAGUAUAUAAAUAUAUGGCUUUGUAUGAGAAAAUCGUGAACAAUGAAAGGAUUCAUAAACCUACUGACAUUUCACCAGUGCAUCAAGAAAUUUAAUAAACUAAAUUUAAUAAAUUACAUAUAGUUAUAAUGUCUUGCUGUUAUUUCAAUGAUUUUAACAUUUGCACAAAAUAGAUGCAGACCAAAUUAUAUAUUUAAUUAUUAUUACGCUAUUGUCUAACUUACAAUAUGUUAGAUGAGAUUAAUUUCUAUUAUGUCUUCUAUAAUACUUUCCUUCAUAUAUUACACGUACAUAUUCAUGAAAAUAUAUCGGUUGCUUUAUCUGAUACCCAUAUUUGUAUAUUCAGAUGUUUCAAGAAAUUCUUACACCAUGUUAUGAAUAUCAACAGUGUCACUUUUAUUCUGAACAGUUUGUAUUUAACAUGAUUACUUAUAAAUAUUCAAACGUGUGAAAAUAUAAAGACAUAUUCAGAUCCCACCUCAUUGAUAUUAAUUGCUGUUUGUUUUAACAUCACUGGUAUACAAGAAAUCCAAGUUUGCUCUGUUUUAAACAAGUUUAUUAUUGAAGAGGUAUAGAGUCUCGGUGUUGGUGAACUGCAAUUGAGUAGGAGUUGUUUUGAUCUGUGUAAUGUGUAAUCUUGAUUUUAAUGUGCGUUAAUUUGCAAAUACUUAUUAAUUGUUUGCUACCCUUUUUCUCUUGAUAGCCAUAUGUGCAUCUCUGAUUGCAUUAAAAAUUGUAUUACUCUUUGAUGAGAUUCAUAAGUCUACUUCACUGACAAUUUUAAGAGCAAACUAUCUCAAAUUCUCACAUAUUAAUAUCCGGCAAAUUUCCUAUAGAUAAUACAUAUUCCUAAAAGCAGAGUGCAAUUAUUCAAAUUUAUUUUGGCUUCAUUUCAACUGGUGGCUUUCUGGUUAAAUGCCACAAAUAAUUCCAGGGCCUCGCUUCAAAACUUCUGUUGUGAGGCUUUCACGAAAUUUCUGAAUAAGUUUAUGAUUUCAAAAUUUUAUAGCAACCAAAUGUUCUUAUACUCUAAGCUUCUGCAAUUUCUAUAUAUUUAUGUGAAACGUAUACGUCACUCGCAAAAAAAUAUGAGAGUUUCAUUAUAAUUUGUAAUUUUUCUGUGAUAUAAUGACUAUCGCAUCCGUUGACAAAAUGUAAUAAAUCACACUACAAAACAAUUAUUCGUCAACUGUACUAUACUAUAUUCCCACACAAUUCGUAUUCCACUGAACUAUACUAUACACAAACCAAGUCAUCCCUUCUUCAACCGUAGUUUACCAACAAACACCAGAGGAGCUAGUGGUCAAUAGUACUAUAAUACAUACACGCACACAAGGAAAUAGCCAUUAGUUUACAAUGCUAUACAACAUACAUUGAAGCGACUAUUCGAUAACUGUAGUUUACCACACAUCAUAAACAUCCGUUUUAAAGUAAAUCAGUAAAUACAUUCAUUGAUAUUUUAAAUCAAAUUUUUGACAUGAAUAUUUGCCUUCGAUUUAAUUUGUCAUAUAUUCUCUCAUCAGCGUUUCACGAACGUAUUCUGCACAUGUAUCUAUUCCUUAAACUAUAGUUGAACAAGGUUUGAACUACAUGGGGAGAGUAGUUUUUCUCACUUUUCGUUUUAAGCACUGUUAUGUGGUCGUUCAUUUAAAACUCUGUCAUUUACAUGAUAUUUUAGCAAUAUUGUAAACUACAGUGUCUACUUCUUGCUCUGAAUACUGUUAUUUCGACAAAUAACCCAGUAGAUAUGCUCAAAAUAAUUUUCUUUUUAUAUUACAGAAUUUGCUGUGGCUUUAAACACCAAAUACACUUAUGAUCUAAACAAAUGGAAGACAUUGCAAGGAACACAUUGCGAAUUAAGAAAAACAUAGAAAGCUGCAUAUGUCUUGCAUAACAUAAUGUAUGAAUCCAAUCUUAUCGCCUUUUACACAGCAGUAAAAAUAUAAAUCUGAGAUUUACAAGACAUAAAUAACUCAAUGCAUAAAAAAACGUGUAUUAAUAUUCCUACUUUAGAAAAGCAUUCUUUGUGCAACUGCUUAGAAGUAGCUUAUAAGUUAGAGGAUAUUUCUAACAUUACUCGCCAUUUUGUCAAUAUUUUGGAACUGAAAACAGGGGCUGAUACUUCUGGAAUAAAGUCUUUGAAUAUGAAACAAAUCACGAGACAGAAAAUAGCUUCCUAAUCUUCAAAGUUAGAAAUACAAUAUGGGUGAUAAAAUAUAUUUUGGAUAUCUGACAAACUGGAAAAUGGAUAAAGAGUUUUAUAAAUCAAAUCUUAUCUAUCUAUCUAUCUAUCUAUCUAUCUAUCUAUCUAUCUAUCUAUCUAUCUAUCUAUCUAUCUAUCUAUCUAUCUAUCUAUCUAUCCAUCUAUCUAUCUAUCUAUCUAUCUAUCUAUCUAUCUAUCUAUCUAUCUAUCUAUCUAUCCAUCCAUCUAUCUAUCUAUCUAUCUAUCUACCUAUCUACCUAUCUGUCUACCUAUCUAUCUCUCUUUCUCUCUCUCUAUACAUAUAUAUAUAUAUAUAUAUAUAUAUAUACAUAUAUAUGCAUACAUACAUACAUACACACACAAACACACACACACACACCAACAAUACAUUCCAGCGUUGCCCAGGUGUUAUGACUUACAAUCACAUUGAAUUAUUUGUUUCUGUCUUAUGGGCAGAAUCACCAGACGAGGUGUGUGAUGCAAACAACUCUUCUUUAUAAACGUGUUUUUCGUUCAUUUUGUGAUGAUCAAUGCUGAAAUUGUUGACACCAAAAACAUGUUUAAUGGCAACUUAGAUUAGAAUGGAAUCCUAAUAUUGCCCCGAAAAUGACCUAGACUUAUGGAUUUAAAGAGUUGGAUGAUGUAUGAGGACGUAGAGGUAUCCGCAUUGCAGAAAGUAAGAUACAUGGAAAGAAAGCUGCUUCAAUGGGAAAAGCACCAUCUCUGUAAUAUUUGGGCAGACUACACUCUUCAACGUAUGUUAAGUGAAACUGACAAUGUUUCUGGGUAAACAAUGUUGUGCAUAAGCCAAGUAUUGAUAGAAUAACUAUAUAAGUCAUCUGCAUUGCUAAUUCGAGAGCAUGCGACAUAUAGUUGUCCAUGAAAAAAGCAGGGUAUUUGUAAAUUGAAACCCACAUUUUUAAAGUUUGACCCUGGGCUUUGUUGAUUGUCACAGCGAAGCGUAAUCGCACUGGGAACUGAAGGUGCUUGAACUGUAAUGAAACAGUUAAGGGAAUAAGGGGUAUGCGUGGAAUGUAUGCGAUCUCUCCUCGAUGACAGCCGACAAUAAUAGUUGCUUGUAGGACAUGACUUAUCAUUGUAGUUAUAGUCAAUAUUGUACUAUUGCAUAGUCGUGGUGGGUCGAAGUUCCCCUUGUUCCUCCUGGGGCUACAAGCUACAGCAGCAUUCACCCUUAAGGGUUAGCCACAUUUAAUUGGCAAAUAUACUUCACGAUGUCGUGCAGCUACUAUUUAUAGCUCUAUCAGAGAUUUAUUAUUGCUUGUUUACACUUUUUCGAUAUCAAUGACUUUUCGUCACUGGAAAAAGGAUAUAUAUUUUCAAGGGGAACACAUUUUUCAUCGACAAUCGGUGAUUGUCUCACGCUGAUGACGGGUCAAUACCCAGAAACUUGAGUCCGUGUGUAUCAUGUCAGAUUGAAGAUGGGAAAUACUCAUAGGGCACAGAAUUGUGUCAAUAGCCAGCUAGAGGAAGUGUCCUCUUGGGGCUACAAGCUACAGUAGCAACCACCCUGAAGGGUUAGUCACAUUUAAGUGGUAAAUAUACUUCAUGAUAUAUAUAUAUAUAUAUAUAUAAUUAUACAUAUAUGGGUGUGAGCGUAUAUAUAUAUAUAUAUAUAUAUAUAUAUAUAUAUAUAUAUAUAUAUACCAACAUAUCUAUUUAAGCUUCUCUUUUACUAAACGCCCUAGAAAAAUAUAUUCUUCUAUUCUUACUCUACAACCCUAAUAUACAUUACUUUCCUUCCCUUUCUAGGGUAUAUACCAUGUUUUAUAGUAUGUUCUUUAUGCAUAAAUUUUAUCAGUUUACGGUUUGCAGUCGCAUACUCUACACGCAGGAAUUGAACACCUAUUUUGUAUAUCUCAAACUACCUCUGUCCAGAUUCGACUUUCAAAUAAUUUUUAAAUUUAUUAAUUAAUUUCCUGAAGGUCCAGAUAUGAAACAGCUGUAAGAGAUGUCAUUUGUUAUAUUUACAAAACAUGAUUUAUUAAUUACAUCUCUAUUUUCCUUAGCUUAUUUAAUUUAAUAAAUAUAUAUAAACCACGGUUUAUAUAGUUACCUUACAGUUGAAUAUUAAUUGUAAUGCCCAACAUUCUUUGUAUUGGCAACUAACCAGUACUUGCAUUGGACUUUACUAUCCUUUAACGAUGUUUAUGAUAUUUAAAUGAAUUAUAUAUAUAUAUAUAUAUAUAUAUAUAUAUAUAUAUAUAUAUAUAUAUGAAAGAAGGUUUGAAAAUACAAUUUUAAAAUAUGUUUAUGUACUUUACCGAUUUCACUUCUUAGAAAAGGCAGCAAAUGUCAUUUACGCCGUCAGAAAUGAUAAAAGUCCAAACCACUAUUAGGGAUAAAACGUCGAAGGAAAUGAAAAGUAAAAACAUAUACCAUCUAUGUCCUGGACAAUGGUUUCUAACAUUUUUUAGCAAAUAAAAUAAUAAUUAUUUUAUUUGCUGAAAAAAUUCAGAAACCAUGGGCCAGAAUUUAGAUGGUAUAUGUUCUUAUUUUUCAUUCCCUUCGAAGUUUUAUCCCUAAUAGUGGUUUGGACUUUUAUCAAUUCUGACGGCGUAAAUGACAUUUGCUGCCUUCGGGCAACUAACUCUUCUGCAUUGCGUACAUAAAUCCUGUCAUUCUGCCUGUUGAUAACUAACACCACGGUGAAGACCUUUUCGAGGGACCGGAUCAACACUUUGUUAUCGGUGCAAUUCUCAGCUAACAUGGUUUUUGUCUCCAUCGAGUCAUUAAUUGCCGGGAUUGUUUCUUAUAUGUAGUUAGCUUUAAAUCCUCCUAAAAUUCCUUUGCAUUGACGAUUUCGAAAUAUCAAAAGCUGUUGCAGUUUUUCUUGCACUCCUGCGGGAAUUUCAGUUCAGUCGCUGCUCCACAGCUUCAAUAGUUUGUUUGGUAUGAAUUGAUUGCUUUCUACUUAGAAUUGGCUUGCUAGAGGUCUUAGCCAACUGAAUACAUCGUUUCUAGGUAUUGAACAACUGCUUUGUUAUGUAUUUUUUGCUUGCUCCAGCUGUUUUCAAAGCGACGAUCUGGUCAUGUUUCGAUUCCGACGCCAUAUUUGUUUGCUAAUAUGUAAUAGAAGAACGAAACGGCAGACACGUUAAAAAAGACAUAUGCAAACCUUUAUGAAAAAUGUAGAUAAUAUUACCUAAAACGAUAUUCUUUAUGAAGAAUUUUAAGCAUGGUUAAAUCUUUCUGGAACACCAUAUACAUAUAUACAAGCAAGUGAACCAAGAAAGAAAGUAGUAUUCAGUGUAAUGGAUUGAAUUCAGGUGUAUUUAAUGACAGAUUAACUCAUCUCCCACUUACUAAAAGGUACGUGUACACGCAGGACGAGUCUGACUCAUUAUAUGUCCGAACGCAUUGACGGACAAUAGGAACACGUCCUACUCGCCCACGAAACACCAAAUUAUGUGAGACAAACUGUUGUUAAAUAUAUGUACGUAUGUUUGGUAUGUGGAGAGGUGUAUUAGGUUGGAAAGUAAUCUCUGUUACGUUGUCACAUAUUCACUUUAAGUCUACUUUUCCAAUAUUGAGGUUAAUGCUUUUCUUUCUUCUAGUGCUUAUAUUUUUUGUUUUGCCCUUGUAAAAUCACGUGAUAUUAGACUCAUAUUAGAUAUUGUCUACUCUAUGAAUGCAAAAGCGGCAAUUCUGCAAUGGAAACGGCGAGAAAUAUUCAUUGUCAAUGGAAAUUAUACUUCAAUCCCCUUCACCUGUCAAAGAUGGGCGAACUGUUCUAUAUGGGAAAUUAUUCUGCCGCAGAUUACCUGCAAUUCGGACGGCCAACCUUUGUUAAUAUGAUGCCACUGAAAACCGUAGCUGACGAAAAUCGAAAGGAAGUUGCUCAGGAAUUAGUAAACCAAUUCGACUCCAUUCACACAACGAUUAUAAUACACAUUCAUGAAUAAGGAAACAUAUUUAAACUUGGUCAGUGUUUCCCUUCUAAUCUGGCUGAUUCUCAGAAUUAUCAGAUUAAUCCGCUGCAUAUCAGGGAAGAAUACACAGGUUAACGACCCGUGUGUAUAUAGAAUCAUCCAAAAGUGAUGAAUAAUAUCUUUUCUAUAAUCAUGCCCAAUGAUAAUGACAAUGGUUAGCACUCAAUGAAAAAGAAAGUCUAUCGCCAAACAAAGUCUACGAAAAGUUAUCUGUCAUAAGGUUCUGACCAAAACAUAUAGACCAAAAACAUAACGGUUAAUGUGAAGUAGUGGAUGUGAAGUAAUUCUAAGUUUUACACAACAGUUUGUAGAAAAUUACCCAUGAUUGUUAAAUCGAAAAUGGGUGUUUUUCUACACGAUAAUGCGCAUUCAUAUAUUGUCCAAGAUAUCCAAGAAAGGAUUAAGGCGCUAAAGAUGAAUAUUUUACAAGCUAUCAUCUUUUGAGAUCCUUGCAUCAUUAUCAAGAUGGAAACUAGAUUUUAUUAUGGUUUUAAAAUGAUAUAGAGUAUUUCUUUGAUUCAAAAUGACAAGAAUUUUGCGCUUCAGGGUUCGAAGAUAUGAUAACGAGAAGGAAUCAUAUCACGUUAUCAAUAAUGAAAGAAUGACAGAUACUCACCUCAUAGUCCACAUUCUUGCAAUUUCCUCUAUCAUCAUCAUCAUCAUCAUCAUCAUCAUCAUCAUCAUCAUCAUCAUUAUGAUUAUUAUUAUUAUUAUUAUUAUUAUUAUUAUUAUUAUUAUUAUUAUUAUUAUUAUUAUUAUUACUAUUAUUAUUAUUAUUAUUAUUAUUAUUAUUAUUAUUAUUAUUAUUAUUAUCAUCAUCAUCAUCAUUAAGGCUGCGAGCUGGCAGAAUCAGUACCACACCGGGCGAAAUGCUUAACGGUAUUUUGUCUGCGUUACGUUGUGAGUUCAAAUUCCGCCGAGGUCGACUUUGCCUUUCAUCCUUUCGGGGUCGAUAAAUUAAGUACCAGUUACGCACUGGGGUCGAUGUAAUCGACUUAAUACCUAUGUCUGUCCUUGUUUGUCCCCUCUAUAUUUAGCCCCUUGUGGGUAAUAAAGAAAUAGGUAUUUUGUCUGCCGCCACGUUCUGAGUUCAAAUUCCGCCGAGGUCAACUUUGCCUUUCGUCCUUUCGGAGUCGAUUAGAUAAGUACCAGUUACGCCCUGGGAUCGAUAUAAUCGACUUAAUCCGUUUGUCUGUCCUUGUUUGUCCUCUCUGUGUUUAACCCCUUGUGGGUAGUAAAGAAAUAGGUAUUUUGUCUACUGCUAAAUUCCACAAAUUUUUCGCAUUUUGGGGUUUAUUAUGCUCUGGGAUCGAUGUGCUCGACUUAAUCCCAUCCUCUAACUUCCAGGCGUUGAGCCUGCAGUAGAAAGGAUUACUAUUAUUAUUAUUAUUUAUUAUUAUUAUUAUUAUUCAGUAGUUUUAUUUUUAUAGCGUGCUUUCACUUCACUACCGAGCGCAGCUCUGUGUGCCUUGGGUAUGUGCUGUGAUUUGUUGUGAUGCUCUGAUGGUUAUUGUAUGGAAAGUGUUCUGCGUAGGAUGUGUGCAGUGCCUAGUAGUGCAAUUUUCUGUAUGUUAUAUGUGUUUGUAAGUCCUGGUGUUUUUGUUAUGUAUGUGUCUGAAUAUGUUUUUAUCAUGCCUAAUGCACCUACUAUAAUAGGAAUUGUUUCUGUUUUCAGAUUCCACAUUCUAAUUACCUCUAUUUCCACGUCUUUGUAUUUUGAGAGUUUCUCCAUUUCUUUUAGAGACACGUUGUUAUCAGCCGGUAUUGAUACAUCAAUUAGAAAGCAUUUUUUUCUUCAUGAUCUCUGACAACUAUAUCUGGUCUGUUGGCCUUAAUUUCUCUAUCUGUGUGUAUCGGCAUAUACCCAGAGUAUCGUUGCUUUCUCGUUUUCUGUGACCUUUUCUGGUGUGUGCCUAUACCAUCUUUUUCUGUUGUUAUUCCAUAAUGUUGGCAUAGCUUUCCAAUGUAUGUAGGUUCCAACUCUGUCAUGUCUGUGAAUAUAUUCCUGCUUAGCCAGGACUGGGCAGCUAGAGAUAAUAUGAUUUAUUGUUUCUUAUCCAUCUCCACAUAUUCUGCAGUUACUUGUAAUAUUUCUUUUCAUUACAUGUUUUUGGUAAUCCCUCUGUCUCUGCUUUGAGUCCUGAGCUUCUCAACCAUUGGUGGGAUUUUUCUUUGUCUAUUUCUUUUGCGUUUAGUUUAGUCCUGUAUUUACCAUGAAGGGGCUUUUCUUGCCAUCGUUUUAUCAUGGUUCGUUGCUGUUCUAUUUUUUUUUUUAGUUUGGAUUUCAUUUGUUUUAUAGCUUUUGUUGUUUCAUCAUCUUCUUCUUCUUCUUCAUGUUUAUUAGGUGGUAUGAUUUUUUGUUUGUAUUUGUCAGCUUCCUUAAAUACUGAGAACAGUUUUUUGUUUUGCUCGUGUCUUGCCGCUAUCUGGAUCAGUUUUCCUUCCUUCUGAAGUAGAUAUUUUUGCAGUCCUAUGGUGGUUAUUUUAUAGUAGUUUUCCAGUAUUAAUAUUAUUAUUAUUAUUAUUAUUAUUAUUAUUUUUAAUAUUACUAUUAUUAUUGUUAUCAUUAUUAUUAGUAUUAUUGUUGUUGCUGCUGCUGUUAUCCUUUUUGCUGAGUAAGAAACCAGUGCAUGCCAUCCAAUUGGAAUAAAAUAUACGAAGCUCAAUAUACCCUUCACUACUACCCGCCUGAUGAGGGCACACCAGGGACUUGCAUCACAAACUUAUGUGCGUGACGUAUUGAUUUCAUAUCAAAAUAAACAGCACAUGACCUUACAGAUGGGACCCAGUGAGAAUUUUCUUCAUGUUGAAUAGCCCAUCCCGCACUAAAGGUCCCUGAAUAAGGGUUAUUUAAGGAUAAUGAACAAAACAUUCAGAGGUGAAUAAUUCAAACCACCAACACAUUGCUAUGAUGCUCCACCGCUACUCCGGCUAGUGACCAGAGAUGCACAUAUUUUAUGCCACCAAGGGACAUGCUCAAUCGAUUCUGAUUAUGCAACUGACAUGCAAAUCUGUGGUUUUGAGAAGAAUAUUUGCUAUAGCCCAUCUUUUAUACCAAGACAAAUCAAUGUACAUGAUAACACUUCCAACCAGUAAGAUGAAAUGAGAGCCACUGUCUUGUAUAUCAUUAACAAUAAUAUUAAUACACUAACCUUUUUAUUUUUGUACCUGUUGUGUGCGUUACACUUAAUUCAAAGACGUGGCAAAGCGAGAGAGAGAGGAAGAUAGUAAGAGAGUGAGAGAGUGAAAGUCAAAGGGAGAGUGAGAAAGUCAGAGCGUGAGAGUGAAAGGGACUGAGUGAUGACGACGUUCGUUUUGUGUUUUUAAAUGUUUCAGAGAGGAAGUAAGAGAGAAAGAGAGAGACUAAGAGAGAGAGAGAGUGAAAGCUACAGAGAGUGGUGACGGCAUUCAUUUUGUCUUUUUAAAUGUUACAGAGAGGACGUAAGAGAGAGAAAAAGUGUGAGAGAGAAAGAGAGUGAGAGCGAGAAAAUGUGAGAGAGAAAGACAGAGGGAAAGAGACAGUGAGUGGUGACGUGUUCAUCGCAAGAGAAAUAGAUGCAUAGAUACAUAUGUACAGUGUCAAAUCAAAAGCGGCAGAGAAGGAUGACACAAAGGACGUGAAAGAGAAAUAGGGAAAUUGAGAGAGACAGUAGAAACAUAAAUCCAAAGAAAAUUCCAUGCGUAGAUACAUAGACACAGUAAAUAUUGGAUGUCGGUUUCACUUUUCAUUAGCACACGAGGAUAAGAUUAACUCACAAAUGCUUGAGUACUGUACUCACAUGCAUAAUAUUAACGUAUUCUCAGGGAGAUUCAGCCUCACACAGAAUAUGACAAGGCUGGUCCCUUUGAAUUACAGCUGCAACUAGAGAGAGGAGUGACUCAAAGGAAGGGGUGUUUGUUUUGUUUUUUCAACCACAGCAAAUAUUGGAAACCGUAUCCUAAACAAAAAGCUGGCUAAUACAAUCGUAUAUGGUUUUCAAUUGAAGCACCGAAUCAUUUUGUACAUUUAUUGUUUUAAUAGGAAGAGAAAAACUGAGAGAGAAAGAGAGUGAGAAAGAAAGAGCUUGAAGACAACUAAAACAAUCCUAGUCAGUGGCAAAGAAACAGGUAGUAAGAGAGAGAGAAAGAGAGAGAUGAAGUCUUCUUUGUGGACUAUCUGAGGCUUACUGUCUGUCUAUCUGCCCCUAUUUCAUGGUAUGUGUUUGUGCACGUGUGCAUGUAUAUGUAUGUUUGUAUGAAUAUGAUUGUGCGUGUUCCUGUUUUGAAUUCCUUUCUGCGACUGACCUUAAACUGCUCUUACAGGCCUAAUCACACACACACAUUUGUUUUAACCCAUUUUUAUAGCAACCAUACACCAAAACACCUGGGCUAAAAAAAAAAAAAACAUCUUUUGGUUUCGGAAUACAACGUUGUCUUUUUCUUUCUAUAUAUUUUAAGUUAGAAUUUCUGGCUCAUUUGUUGAUGUGUCACCAUUACAUAUCCACAUUACAUCUUUAAGAUCGGAGAACCAGUUAGGGGCCCGCUGGAUCUCUCUCAGUAUACCAGUAAACCACAAAAUCGCACCUAGCCAGUAUCAUCGCUGCCUCAAAGCCCGUCAUACAUAUAUAUGUAUUUAUGUAUGUAUGUAUGUUUAUAAAGGUGUGUGUGUGUUUGUGGUUGUCCCCACCCCCACCCCGCGACCAUUGCUUGACUACCGAUGUUGGUGCGUUUGUGCCUCUGUAAUUUAGCCUGUUCAGCAGAAAAGACUGAUAGAAUAAAUACCAGGCUUACAGGGAAUAAGUCUAGGGGUCAAAUUCUUCGACUAAAGGGAGGUACUCCAGCAUAGCCAUCGUCAAAUGACUGAAACAAGUAAAAGAAUGAGAGAAUAUCAGAAAAAACGCUCUGUACCACUAAAACAAGAAGGUUCUUUGAAUAUGUGCGAUGUAUUUUAAGGUUAAAUAGAAAUUCUGUUUACGUUUGUGUGAGAUAUUUUGGUUGAAUUAUAUAGUCAUUGGUGUUACAUUACUUUCUAUAUUCUGUAACUGUCACAAUAUACUUUUCUAGGCCUGAAAUUUUUGUGGGGAGUGGGGCCAGUUGAUUAGAUCGACCCCAGUACACAACUGGUACUUAAUUUAUCGACCCCGAAAUGACGAAAUGCAAAGUCGAACUCGGCAGAAUUUGAAAUCAGAACGCAAAGACAGACAGUCAUAUUAUACAAACAUUUCUCAUGGCACCAGUAUACUUUUGACAGAUGCUUACAUUAUUUGUUUCCCGUGAAUUUUUCACGGGUUCAGCUAAUUAUCAUUAUUAUUAUUAUUAUUAUCAUUAUUAUUAUUAUUAUUAUUAUUAUUAUUAUUAUUACUAUUAUUAACAUUAUUAUCAUUAUUAUUAUUAUUAUUAUUAUUAUUAUUAUUAUUAUUAUUAUUAUUAUUAUUAUUAUUAUUAUUAUUAUUAUUAUUAUUAUUAUUAUUAUUAUUAUUAUUAUUAUUAUUAUUAUUCAGUAGUAUAUUUUUAUAGCGUGCUUUCACUUCACUACCGAGCGCAGCUCUGUGUGCCUUGGGUAUGUGCUGUGAUUUGUUGUGAUGUUCUGAUGGUUAUUGUAUGGAAAGUGUUCUGCGUAGGAUGUGUGCAGUGCCUAGUAGUGCAAUUUUCUGUAUGUUAUAUGUGUUUGUAAGUCCUGGUGUUUUUGUUAUGUAUUUGUCUGAAUAUUUUUUUAUCAUGCCUAAUGCACCUACUAUGAUAGGAAUUGUUUCUGUUUUUAGAUUCCACAUUCGAAUUACCUUUAUUUCCAGGUCUUUGUAUUUUGAAAGUUUCUCCAUUUCUUUUAGAGACACGUUGUCAUCUGCUGGUACUGAUACAUCAAUUAGAAAGCAUUUUUUUUUCAUGAUCUCUGACAACUAUAUCUGGUCUGUUGGCCUUAACUUCUCUAUUUGUAUGUAUCGGCAUAUCCCAGAGUAUGGCUGCUUUCUCGUUUUCUGUGACCUUUUCUGGUGUGUGCCUAUACCACCUUUUUUCUGUUGUUAUUCUAUACUGUUGGCAUAGCUUCCAGUGUAUGUAGGUUCCAACUCUGUCAUGUCUGUGAAUAUAUUCCUUCUUAGCCAGGACUGGGCAGCCAGAGAGAUUAUGAUUUAUUGUUUCUUGUCCAUCUCCACAUAUUCUGCAGUUACUUGUUAUAUUUCUUUUCAUUACAUGUUUUUGGUAAUUUCUGGUGGGGAGGCUUUGGUCUUGUGCUGCAAUUAAAAAUCCCUCUGUCUCUGCUUUGAGUCCUGGGCUUCUCAACCAUUGCUGGGAUUUUUCUUUGUCUAUUUCUUUUGCAUUUAGUUUAGUCCAGUAUUUGCCAUGAAGGGGCUUUUGUUGCCAUCGUUUUUUCAUGGUUCGUUGCUGUUCUAGUUUUAGUUUUGAUUUCAUUUGUUUUAUAGCUUUUGUUGUUUCUUCAUCUUUUUCUUCUUCAAAUUUGUUAGGUGGUAUGAUUUCUUGUUUGUAUUUGUCAGCUUCCUUAAAUACUGAGAAUAAGCUUUUGUUUUGCUCGUGUUUUGCCGCUAUUUGCAUCAGUUUUCCUUCCUUCUGAAGUAGAUAUUUUUGCAGUUCUAUAGUGGUUAUUUUAUAGUAGUUUUCCAGCUCUAUAAGGUCUCUGCUACACUCUAUACGUUGUAUAUAUAGCCUUUCUAUGUCAGAUUUUGUGUGAUGCAUCCUAGAUCCUGUCAUUUUUCUUGUUUUCCGAUCUAUUUUGGUCAGUUAAUUUAGUGUCCAGUUAAAGAUAUUGUAGCUGUAACUUAUAACUAGGAUAGCUAAAGUGUUAAUACCUAUUUUCUUGUUUUUAGUAUUGAGCUCUGUUUUUAGUAUUGAUCUAACUCGUCUAUAAUAUUCUUUUUUUAUUUUCUCUUUCAUUUGUGGAUUCAUGGAUUCAUGGAUUCCUAAUCUUCAUUAUCAUUAUUAUCAAUAUCACUACCCUCCACCUCCUCCUCAUCAUCAUCAUUAUCAUCCUCCUCCUCCGCAUCAUUUUCUUCAUCAACAUAAUAAUUAUACUUUUAUUCUAUAUAUCCAGUCAUGCGUAUCUUAGUAAAUUUCUUUGUUCAUUUAUGUAGCUGAUCCUUUCUCUUCUCUUUUUAUAUUGUUUCACUUCCUUCACCUCUUCUCUCAUCUCAUCUACACUACUAACCCUUUUUCCUCCAUUCCGUCUUUCACCCCACCUCACCCUUUGCUGUCCUCUCUCUCUCUCUCUCUCUCUCUCUCUUUAUUUCUGUCUCCCAUUUCCGUCCUCCUAGAUAUUAUACCCCAUCUGGCCAGGUCCUCUCCUCAUCAAGCAGGCGACAUAGAGUGCCCCAACCAUGUAUAAAAGGUGAAUUUCAUAAUUUUCUCUAUAUUUUGAAAUGUCUGAACUUACAAAAAUUUUGCGCAUUAUGCGUUACCAUGAACAUAUCAUUAUUUUGCAUAAUAUAUAUAUAUAUAUAUAUUAUAUAUAUGUGUGUGUUUGUGUGUGAAUGUAUAUAUAUACGUAUAUAUGUACAUAUAUACAUGCACACGUAUAUACAUACAUACAUUCAUACAUACAUGUGUAAUAUAUGCAUGUAUAUAUGUGUGUGUGUGUGUGUGUCUGUGUGUUUGUUUAUAUGAAUAUCUGUAUGUUCAGUUGUGCCUAUUAGAAACAAUUGCAUGUCGUUAUUUCAAUUUUCUCAUGUAAUCGAACAAUUUAAUUGAAUAUCCUAAUAUCCAAGAAAUGGAUGAUCUAAUACAAUUUUUAUUCUGUUCCAGAAAAUUAAGUUCACUAGAGAAUGGAAAACUAUUACCUUACUUCUGACGUCACUAAUACAUCAAAUAUCAGCAAUUAAAUCUAUUGCGAGGAAUGAAGAAUUCUACAUAUACCAAAGUAAUAUUAUACGAGCACAAUAAAAACAUAAUAAUGAGGCGUUAUAUCAGUAUCCCCAUUUCGAUGAGAGAUAUGAUAAUGAAAUGGAAAUAGACGACGUUAGCAGAUUUACAGCGAAUGUAGUACUCUCACGAAAUGAAAAAAUGUAUUCCACUUAUAGUUAGAAAGUGGUUAUGAAAAAAAAAACAUCUUUAAAAGGACAAUGUUUAAUGUGAAAUGGUUAUAUGUAAUAGUUUUUCAUAGAUAUUUUGAAUUUCUAUCAAAAUCGUAGUUUCUACAUGAACAGUUCUUAUCUCUGUACGUAAUUUAGCGGAAUAUAUGAAAUAUACAAUUUUCUUCCCACCAGCAACAAAUAUUAGAAGCUUAUAGUGUUACGAAAUAUAAAGUGGAAAUUCGAAAUUGAUAUUGUUAAAUUGGAUGAAACAAGUUUGAGUCAAUAAAAUAUACAAUAAAAUAUACAAUAAAAUAUACAAUGUUCCGUGGAUAGAAAAAUAAAUUUAAUAUUUGAUUGAGGAAUGUCGAUCUGAAAUAACGAAGAGUCAAAUUAUCUUAACUUGUUGAAUUUUAAACAGAGUGGAAGCCGAUGCGCAAAAAUGUUUUAAUUUUUGUCUGAAAUUUUAGUGAUUAUAAAUUAGAUUGUAGACCUUCGUGAACAUCAAUAUUACUCAUUUUAAUUAGUAUCCACAUUUUGAUCAGCACAUCGGGUGGUUUUAUUAUUUUUCAGAAAAAUAUAGAAUAAACAAUGAAUUUUUGUCUGUUAUAUUACAUGAUUUCAUUCUAAAGAUGCGUAAAAUUAUAUAAAUCAAGAUAGAAUACACAUACAGUAAUCCCUACACUAUCACGUCCAAAAUCUCUCACGAUAGGUUAAAAUCCACGAAGUAGAAACAGUACUGUAUGUAUUUUUAUCAUUUUUAUAAUUUGCAUAUGUUUAUUUUAUUAUAACUGCUAAACAAUGCCAUACACUCGUCUCCCGGAGUCGUGGUCGAAGGAUUGCGUGUUCGAAUAUCAGAUCUGGCGAUGCGUGAGUUUAUGAGCGGAAACACCUAAUCUCCACGAGGCUCCGGCAGAAGGUAAUGGCGAACUUCCGAUAACUCUUUCGCUACAACUUUCUCUUACUCUUUCCUCUUGAAUCUAGCAGCUCACCUGCGACGGACCGGCAUCCCGUCCAGGUGGGAAACCUAUACGCCAAUGAAACUGGGAAUCCUGCCCUUAUGAGCCAGGCAUGGUUCGAGAACGAACAAACAACAACAUUAGAUAUAUAAAAUUUACCUUUAGAACAAAUCAGAAACACGUUGGUAAGGUUUGUUUGAUUACUGAUGUUAUUAUUACUUGCAAUAAUUUUAGGUUCCAACACGUUAAUGGUAAAUAUUCUGUCAUGAGGCAUGUAUUUCAAGAAGUGAAUAUUUAGAUGUGUAUGAGCGAUUAUACGCUAUAUAUAUUUAUGAGUAUGUCUCUUUAUACAUAUAUUUAUGUGUGCGUAUGUGCUUGUUUACACGCAUACACAUACACACGCAUAUAUAUUUGUGCAUAUGUCUAUAUGUGUGUGCGCGCAUGCGUAGUGUGUGUGUGCGUGCGUAUAUGCAUGUGUAUUAAUACAUUUAACUAGACAUGCCAAAUUCAAGCAUUUCAGGUACUCCAAAUUUUAAGUAUGGAUUAUAUUUUAUUAUUAAUUGCAUAUCUAAGCUUGAACAGGAAUGUAGACAACCUCGAUAUCUCAUGUCGCCUGAAAUGAAGUCAAAGAUCUAUAUGAAAUUUAAGGAACUGCUUUGUCUGUUUGUUAACAUAGUUGUCAGUUUUCCCUUAUACAUAUUGUACGCUUUGAUUUAAAAGUAAUAUACCACAUAAGAAAAAGAGAAAUAUAUGUUUUUUUAAACUUUAACGUCUAAAUGUGUGUGUACGCAUAUAAUUUAGCCGAAACCGAAAUUUGAAAUUGCUGAGUCCUCUUAAAUACAAAAAGUAAACUUUUCACUGUUUAAUCUUUACUCCUAAACUUUAUUUUCAGAGCCGAAUAGAAAAUUGCACCAAAAGACUUAUCUUCUCUACACAGUAGGAAUCUACACCUCGUAGGACAUAUCUACAUGUACG